GCGCUAUCGGAGCGGCCGAUGUCAGAUUAGCUUGUUGGCGGGGUAAAAGCCCACCAAGGCGACGAUCUGUAGCUGGUCUGAGAGGACGACCAGCCACACUGGGACUGAGACACGGCCCAG
rnacentral:rRNA from 1 species